rnacentral:tRNA from 1 species
GGAAACGUGCCUGAAAGCUAAGGACCUCCUUGAUAGGGAGAACAAUAGGAGUUCAAAUCUCCUCGCUUCCUUA